rfam:TPA: Bos taurus chromosome 3, whole genome shotgun sequence.
UCCCUGGCAGUCCAGCGGUUAGGGCUCAGCGCUGUCACAGCUGUGGUCCAGAUUCAACUCCUGGUCAGGGAA